rnacentral:rRNA from 1 species
CCCUUAGAUGUUCUGGGCUGCACGCGCGCUACACUGACACACGCAACGAGUCUCCUGCCCUGACAGGGUCGGGUAAUCAUUUGAGUGUGUGUCGUGAUGGGGGUAGAGUAUUGCAAUUAUUGCUCUUGAACGAGGAAUUCCUAGUAAGCACAAGUCAGCAGCUUGUGCUGAUUACGUCCCUGCCCUUUGUACACACCGCCCGUCGCUCCUACCGAGGGGGUGAUCCGGUGAAUGAUUCGGACUCUGGUGCUUCUAGCUGCUAGAUGCGCCGGAGGAAGUUUUGUGAACCUUAUCACUUGGAGGAAGGAGAAGUCGUAACA